rnacentral:rRNA from 1 species
AAGGUAGCGUAAUAACCAGCCUUCUAAUUAGAGGCCAGUGAAAGGCAACACAUGGGACCACCUAUAUCUAAUGUGCCAAAAGAAUUUUACCUUUGAGUGAAAAGGCUCAACUAAUCAAAAAAGACGAAAAGACCCCGCGGAGCUUUACUUAAAAGUUAUAGACCAUAUAAAAUCAAUACUAAAAGUUUGGUUGGGGCAACCUUGGAACAACUAAUCUUCCAAUUCAUCUCUCUGCAAUAAAAUACAAAACCUUUACGGACUAAAAAGAAGCUACCCCGGGGAUAACAGCGUAAUCCAACUUAAA